GUUAGGGGUGCUGUUCUCUCUCGGGCCACAGAGUGAAGAGCCCGUGGGGUGGGGGCUGUGGGAGGCAGCCCUUGGCUGUACCUCAGGGUGGACGGAGCGGAGCAGAAACACGUGCUGAUGGCUGCUGAGAUAAGGAGAGCAGGGAAGUGUCUUUGAAGAUCUUCUUGUUGGGAUGCUUCACAUCAGCACAGCUGCAGCCCUGCAUAUCUGCGCACUGCUGGCUGCGCUUCCUGCACAGUAUUACAUAUCCCAGUGGUAUGGAACACAGCCUGCUCAGCGCAUCCGAAUGACAAAAAGGUUAAUUUCCUGUAGGAGCAGCUUUAUGAAAUCUUACUUGAGCCUGGACCUGUGGGCAGAUCGUUUGAAGCUGUGGCUAUCAGAGGCGAGGCAGGGUGAAGGGAAGAAGACUGAAAGAGCAAAGCUGGCGAAGCUCAUAGAAGAAGAGGGAAGGAACUGGUACCAUGGAGAAAAGGAAAUUAAAAGUGCCUACAAUGAAGCAGAAAACCAUUCUUAUUUUGCAGCUUCAUCUCACAUUCACAGUCCGAAGCCUAAAUCUAUCCAGUUCAGUGUGGGACAGGUGAUAGUUCACAAAAGAUUUGGUUAUUUGGGAGUCAUUGUUGGAUGGGAUGUGAAAGCUGAAGCUCCAGAAGAAUGGCUACAACACAAAUAUCCUCCAGAAAAACAGGAUGUAAAAGAUACUCCUCACUAUCGAGUUCUUAUUAACAACGCAACUAGAUUUGGCAAAUCUACCACUUAUGUUUCUGAGGAAGAGAUAACAAUCACUGUGGGAUUACAGGUAGCAUUUAUUUCUAUUUAGUUGCAACUUGUUUGCUACCCUCUUGUUUGUUACCCCCUUGUUUUAGAAUUUCACUGACCCAUCAAUGUUGGACAAGUCGUUUAAUUCCUUUCUACUGAAUCUCACCAAAGUACAUCGGUUUCUCAAUUCAACCCUGAAAAAUCUGCAUUUCAAAAAGUGCCUGCUUAGUAGCUGCCUAGACUGAAUAACGUCUCCCUUCUUUAAUUGCAAGACUCUGCUAGCCUACAAUUCCAUUUUGUAUACUACAGUCUUGGUAUUCUAGCUUAUAAAAGAUGCACCUGAUCCUUAAACUAGUCAGAGACUAGUAAAAAAAACUGUGUUAGCCAGUAAUACAAAAAAUUCACAUACCUGAACCCAGGAAUAGGAGCUAUGCUGCUGCAGAUAACUGUCAUCAGUGUUUCAAAUUGGGUUCUGACCACUCUGAGUCUUACAGGUUGCCCUCACAACCUAAUGGGCAGAAUUAUUUCCUAAAAAGUAGAAAAUAACAAGAAAAUGUUUAAACUUGCCCUAACCAUUUUCUAGCUGACAGUUUUAACCCACUGGCUUUCUGGAUCAUAAGAAAACACUUACCUUGGAUUGCCAUUUCUGGACUUGCAUCUUUGAAUUAGACACUGUGGUACAUCAACUGGAUGGGUCCUGGGCAGCCUGAUUUAUUGGGAGGCAACCCUGACUGUGGUGGGGAGGGCUGGAACUAAGUGAUCUUUAAGGUCCCUUCCAAUCUAAGUCAGUCUAUGAUUUUGUGAAAGAUCAUCAACUUGAUGUGUCUUCACCUCUUCCCUGAAUGCUAUCGUGUUCCUGCUGCCAGACUAUUUGGAUUAGAUAACUGAUCCAGCCAAAAAAAUAACAAGAAGCUGUACCGGUAACAACUGAAUGGAAACCACUUCAAUUAGAAACAGUGUUGUGUUAGAAAAUCAAACCCAGUUAGAUCUAGCAAGCGAUACCUCAGGAAAUUUGUUAGUUUGUAGAGCCCUUGAUGGUCUGUGAAAGCCACCAUUCUGAUGGCAUGAUCUGUAUUAAAGUGUGUGGAAAAUCCCACUGGAAGCGUAUCUGUGUACAUUAUGAAUUUAGGCUAAUCAGAGUUUUCAAAAAGCUAACGGGUAACUUAAAUCAUCCAAGUAUCCCUUCGUAUUUCCUGCUAAUUCUGCUGCUAAUUCAACUUGAAUUAUUUUCUCAGGUUCACCACCCUGAUGUUCAAGUCUAUUUCAGUGGAUAUGAUGGAUCAAAGUAUAUUUUGCGACCAUGGUUGAGAGACAUCUAUCCUCAUGACUGAAGCAUUCAAGUAUCUGUACAUACAACAUACAUCUGGACAACAUUACUUCCUUUUUAAACUCGAGCAAAUAGACACCAAGAUAAAACUAAAGCAUGUCUUUUUUUUUUUCU